GUGAAUCAUCAAAUUUUUGAACGCAAAUUGCGCUUCCUGGCAUCCCGGGAAGUAUGCCUGUUUGAGGGUCAGUAUUAAUAAAAAAUCGGUUUAGUUACAAAUUGUGACGUUUCCGGAGUUUGGGCUAUCUUAAAAUUUUUAGGUAAGAGGCUUAAAAUUGACCUUUUUUGCGCAUUUUUAAAAGGAAAUAAAUUUUUUUUUAUUCGUCUAUUCUUAAUUCCAAAAUCUUAUUAGAAGCGAUCACAUCCUGUGGUUUCGGGUCCAUAAAAUUUG
rnacentral:misc_RNA from 1 species